CGGGUUCUUUUUUUCCUCUCGGCGACUCUGGGGGCCAGGGGGUGUGCCAGCAGCCGCCACCGUGUCUUGUGUAGCCGAGUUUGUCUGUGCUUUCUUUCUAUUUCUAGUCUACGAUUUACACGGUGAUCCGCAGUCUGUUCCAUUAAUAAUUAUUGAAAGCUCAAAAUGAUUGUUCAGGCAAUGGAGAUUGCAUUAGAGUGCGGCAAAGAACAAGAUCCCUGUACCCCUCAGCUACCAACUCUACUGGUCUCUGUGGACUCACUGAUUGGUGGCAUGACCAAGACUCUCUUCUCUGAGGCAUUUGUGUCACAAUUUAUCAUGGCUUUCUCUGGCCGAAGUUACUACACUGGUUAUUUACCAUCAGAACUGAAGAAGUAAAUACCAAGGGUCAUCUGAGUUGGUCACCUGGGGUUCCACAUGUGUUCCAACAAGGCCUACCUCUUCCUGAUGAUCAGAAUUAAUUUUCUCUGCAAAAGUGGUGACUUCCUAUCUUGCCGACUGGACUCUGCUGCGGUUGGCCAUGGGGCCACAACUAAUAACUGACUCUUUCCCUCACAAGAAGCCCAGGAAAUAGCCAGUGUGUAAUUCAACUGGACUCUUUCUGUGUCCCUGUGGAAAUGUACUUUACAGAUCCCAGAAGACUAUAUACUACAGUAAUAAAGAGAACUUUAAUUUCAGUGAGGAUCAAUUGUUAAGGUGUUUAAAAAUUUAGUGGACAAAAAGAACAGGAAAAAGUACAAAAGAAGACCACAAAGGAAGCAGUUGGCUCGAAGAGGAAAAACAGAAGUGUGUGUCAUCUCUCAAGUCAAAAGAAAAACAUAUUUCAAGAAAUGGAGUUUUAUCAAUUAUUAUCAAAUGCUGCUCCAGGAAAAAUACAGUUGGCUUCUUCUGGAAAAUACGAAUAUUGAUUUGGGAGCUGAUAAAAUACUUCUGAAAGUUAUGAUGGGAUGAACACUUGCCAGUGUGAAAAUCAACAUAAUGAACAUAUUCCAACAUCUUCAACUUGGAAAAAAAUAUAUUCAUUUUAAGAACUUUGGCACAUUAAAUAAUAUGGUUUUUGUCAUAUGAGAACAGCUUGAGGAGCUGUGUGGAACAUACCUCAGAACUGUCCACUCAUAGGAUAAGCAAAGGGAUCUCUUAUCUCCCAUUGUGUUAAAUCCUUCACACCUCCGAGAUUAUGUGUAAGUCAAAAUAUCUGAGCAUAUUCCCAUGGGCAAUACAGCAAAAAUUCCCUGAUGCAGAAAACAAGGAAACUUCACUGCCGUGGAGACAAGAUCCUGUCACAUCACACUUUUGCACAGCUGGUUGUCAUAGCAACAACAGGGCUAGAAGUGCAUUAUGAGGACAUGAGGUAGGGCACCAGAGAUGGCUAAACACCAUUUCAUGAUGAAUUUUGGAAAAAUAAUAUGGCAUAACCAUCAAUAGAUGUGGUUACCUGCAAAUAAAUAGCUAAGGUGAUACAGGAAUAUACAAGAUGUACCAAGGUGGCUAUGAAUGGGAAUGACUAAGUCUAAUCAAUCAUAUUGCAUUCAAGUGAAGCAAACAUACACUAUAGCUAAAGAAUACAUACAAUGUUUUCCACUGUGCCUAGUGUCUAUUAAAAGGAAAGCAAAAAGUACUAUGGAAACUCUGUGUACCUUCAGAAUAGCUACAAAGCAUUGUGUACAAAUGAACUGGUCAGAUUUCUAAUUUGCUUAGCAGCACAGUCUUUAGUGAAGAGGGACAUCAGGCAUUAGGUCAUAGGAUGUUAACUAGGAAUAUUAUCUAAUUUUAUCUCUUCUGUUUCCACAUUCACCAAAUGCCUUGUGUUUCUACUGAGGCUUCUUCAUAAAUUAGCAUAUAAGGAUAAAAUGCACUCAUUUUCAACACAAGUAAUUGUUUUCUCUUUAUAGUCAUAUCUAUCAUUAUGAAUUAAAAAACCUAAACCAUGUACUAUACACUAGUCUUUUGUGUGAGAUGAAGAGGACUGGGCAUAGUUGGGGAUAUUAUUUAAGUGUAUAGUGCACAUGGACAUGACAAGGAAACCAAGAUGGAAUGACAGGAAAAGGUUUACAUUAAGUUGUAGUAGGAAAGAUUCUAGGGAAAAGUAGAAAAGUUGUAGUGAAAGAUUCCAAUGGAGGCAAUAAAUGGCUUGGAAGGAGCAGAAGAUGCAGAAUAUGCUGAUUCUUCUCCUCGGCUCCUUGAGCAAAGAGAGAGAGGUUUGAGAGACAGUAGUUUUCAAUUAGCGGGAGGAAGAAAAAGUAUUUGGGAAGAGGUUCAAGACCAUAGCAUGACUACAAGAGACUGUAAACCAAAUUACCGUCAAUUUUCAGCAGUGAUGUGGUAAAAUGGUGUCUUCUACUUCAGCAAAAUCACUUCUCCAUGUUAGUAGUUUGGUUUGAUCCAUUAUCAAAAGUCUUUGGAGAUGGGAAAUAAAAGUGAUUCCAAAGCAUUGUAAACUUAAUAUAAAACUCAACAUUAGCAACUUUCCAGAAAAUGUCUCUGAAGUAAGUGCUGCAUUUGGUGUAAAACCUCAUACGGUGGUUUCUUGAUACAUUAAAAAGUUUCCUCUUAUUAGUGAUGCUUUCAUAGUUGGCUUGAUUCACUUGAUAUCGAUGAUCUACACUGUAAUAAAAUUUAAGCAUAGAAACUUAAUCCAGUCUGAAUUAGGAACCACAGCUUCACUGGGACUUAGCGUAUCAUAUUGCAGCAUAACAUUCUAAUAUACAUAAUUUCCUAAAUCAUGCCUUGACUUUGGGGAGUACUUAAAUAUUCAGCUCAAUUCUCUCGUAAGUGUGCAGAAUACAGUUAAUGAUAUAAUGUCCUCCAUGAAGAAGGCAGAAGAGUUUGUACACCCAGAUUCUCUAGCAGAACCAGAAAAUAAAACAACUAUAUGAAAGAGCUCCCUGGCAUAAUUCUUUAAAAAAAAAAGCAGAAGAAAAAGAAAAAUCAACUUUUUUAAGUGCCUACUAUAUGUCAGCUUUUUCACUAGUAUUUUAAUAUACUUUAAUCAUCAAAACAUAUCUGCAAAUAUGAUGUUCAUUACUCCCAUUUUCCUUUUAAGGAAGCAAAGCUCACAGAUGUUGCUGAAGUUAACACAGCUAUGGUGGAACUGAGAAUAGAACACAGUCCUGUCUUUAAUCUGUUCAUACACUUGACCAAUGAUCUUUGUCUGAAUCUGCAAAUAUAGAAGUCUGCCUAAGAAUUCCAUACUGAAUAUUUUAGCAUCAUUUUUUUUGGGAAAUUCUCUUGGUGCUGUCAAAGAUGACAUGCAUUUAAGAAAGUACAAAAUCUCUACUGCCUUCUUAAAAGCAUGUGUUAACAGACCAGUGUUUGCUUCUUCACUGACAAAAGUUAAGAUUUUGGGAACUAAACUCCAACUUGUUCACUUGUCUGUAAAUUUCUGAAUGGCAGAGACCAUGACCUUGACUUCCAAUAUCCAAUUUAUACCUGGUUUAAAAGAAUCUUUCACAGAGUCAAGCCAUGAUAAUAGUAGGUUAUAUUAUAGUAGGUGAAUUUUUAUUUCCUCUAAACGCUGAAGACUCAAGCCCUAAAUUAUUUCAAUUAUGUAUGAAAUAAACCAAUGCUUACACAAUACAGUUCUUUAUUUAUUUGAUACAAGUAAAAGAAGAAAACACUUGGCAACUGCUCACUUCUACAGUGAAUUUGGUUUGGCUUGUUAACCGAGUGGUGAAGGAUUUGGAUAUGAAUAUUUUCAGUUGGCAGCAAAGAGGAGAAAGAAUUCUACAUUUUCUCCUUGACAUUGUAAGUUUAAGGAAUGCUUUGUGCUAUUAUUCUGACAGCCUUAUAAAUCAAAAUAAGGAAGAAAUGGUAACUACAAGUUUCAGUGAAAGACAAUAACUGGGGAAGGAGACAAGUAUAUUUUCAUUCUCAAAAGGGUAAAUUCUGUCAGUAGGAAGAAGGGGGAGUUCCUACUUUGAGGCUAAAAUAUAAAAUAUUAAUUUCAGAUAGCUCCAGAAGCAGAUUAGAAUUCCUUUUCAUUUCAUGAGGGAGUUAAUAAUAAUGUGAAGAUGAAGGUAACUACUUCAGAUGAAUAACUAAGUCACUUUAUAGAGGAGUGUUUUAUGUGCAGCCUCUAGAACAGCCUCAAUGGACCCUGACUAUUGGUACUUAUCCUUGUGUAAUCCUUUCCCAUCAACUGUGGGACAAUUUAGUGAAUAGACUAGUAUAAGGUGGAACUAAUGAUGUAUGAUACAAGGGUAAUAUGUUUCUCUCUUUCCUUCUUUCUAGCCCUCCCUCCUUCCCCUGCUCCCUUUCUUUCUCUCUCCAAGAUCAUGAUUCACUCUUGGGGAAGCCAGCUGUCCUGUCACAAGCAACCAUAUGAAAACACCCAUGUGGUGAGAAACUGAGGUCUCUUGACAACAGCCAAAUAAGUAAGCUGGGAAGUGUAUUCUCUAGCUCAAUGUAAGCCUUUGGAUGACUACUGCCCCAAAUGACAAUUUGCCUGCCGCCUCACGAGAGACUGAACUAAAAGGACUCAGCUAUUCUCCUUGUGGAUUUCUGAAACUGUGAAAGAUAAUAAAUGUUUGUUGUU